GCUGAACUGGCUCAGUUGGAAGAGCGCACCCGUGGUAAGGGUGAGGUCCCCAGUUCGACUCUGGGUAUCAGCA
rnacentral:tRNA from 1 species